GUUGUGGUGGCUCAGUGGAUAAGGCUUUGAACUGCUGAUCAGAAUGUUAUGUGUUCAAAUCCCAGCACCUCCA